rnacentral:rRNA from 1 species
UACGGAGGGUGCAAACGUUGCUCGGAAUCAUUGGGCGUAAAGCGCACGUAGGCGGUCCAGCAAGUCGGGUGUGAAAUCCCUCGGCUUAACCGAGGAAGUGCAUUCGAAACUACUGGACUUGAAUACUGGAGAGGAUCGCGGAAUUCCCGGUGUAGAGGUGAAAUUCGUAGAUAUCGGGAGGAACACCAGUGGCGAAGGCGGCGAUCUGGACAGAUAUUGACGCUGAGGUGCGAAAGCGUGGGGAGCAAACAGGA